UUAAUUCGGAUAUACUGUACGGCGUACGUACGAGAGAUACACGCACGUACGCAAUGCAGGGAGAGCUGGCGAGAGGCAGGAGGCGCAAGAGUGCGAGAGCUUUGUCCACCUGUCCCCCGCUCAGCACCUGUAUGACGUCACUGCAGGAAACAGCUGGUUCCUUUCUUAUGCCCUCGUUGCAGACUACGCUUAUGAUAUAGUUGUGUACGCAUAGGUGUGCGUAUAAUAUAUCGUACACUGCGGCAUAUAUAUACCUAUGCGCGCAAACGCGCUUGUGUGUUACACGAUCCUGAUGCGUUUUUCCCUUUUCCUCUCCCUGCGCUAUUACUUUAUACCAUAUAGUAUACGUGUACCUGAGAACGCGCAGGGAUACCUAUGGGCGCAGGCUGGCGGUGGUUAUGUUCGGUUUCUACGCGGAGUGGCUUCGAUUUGAAAAUUAUCAAUUCAUACAUUACAAUGAUGAUCGUUCAAUUGCUUUGCGCUCUGCACUUUAUUGUAACGCUGGAAUCGAUCGAUAUAUAUAUAUUCUGCUUUGGUUCAGAUGUGGAUGUACCUCAAUCGCGAUUCGCGACGUCAAAAAAAAAAACAAAAAAAAAAAAAACAAAAAGUAUCGAUCGGGGACGGUGUAUCGUGAGAAUAUUAACGGGUGACCAUUUUCGAGUUUGGAUUCUUUUUUCCUGGCAUACCUAAAUUUCACUCGGCAGGUAAUUUUAGUAUUCCAAUUGUCGUGCGAUUGCACAUAGUCUUAUCGUAGGGGGUGUUUAGCACGUGGAGGCAGAUAAGUGUACACACGGAUGUAAAAAGGUAUGCGAAUCGGUGUAGGUGCACGUAUGCGUGAGUAUAACGCACACACGGAGAACGGUGGUUCUCGUGUAGCUUUAGCGCGAUCGUUGUCCCUCCGCGGCAAGGAACUCUCUGCACCGGCAGCAUUAUUAUACCGUAGAGUGUAGUCUGCAUGGUUACGGAGAAUUCCCGUUACUCCAAAGAAAAUAUCAUGAAAACCGUACAGAAUUGAUGCCACACUAAAUACGUGUACUGUACACAUUACAAUUCAUAAUAACGAAAGAAACUCAAGUAAUCAUCCGCAUAUAUCGAUGUAUACGAUAUAAUAUUGAAUCUGUACGAAUGUGUUCCAUCAAGUGAUGCUCGAUUAUGGUUCCACGAGACGAAAUAAUUCGAAUCGUCCGCAAAGGAAUUGCGAAGCGAUUCGAAAAUACGGGAAUAGAAAACGCAAUGAAUUUUUUAGAAUCAAACGUCACCGCGAUUCUCAUCAAUCUCAUUGCAGAUUGCGCGCUUGUAGGGUUAGGUAUAAUGAAAUUUCUCUCAUUUCUAAUGAGAAAAGAACCAAAAAAAAAAAAAGGAAUUGAUCACUUCUGAUACAUUAUUGUCCGCGUAGACGUACGGAAAUUUCAACUCCAUAGUUUACACAUUAUAUGUAUUACAAACGACGCUCGCAUGAAGUUCUACUAAACGAAAUUUAAUGACCGCAUCUCUUAUACAAAUUCCAACGAUUUCCCGCAGAGACUGCUUGACCUAUAAAUCGAUUUUUUAUUUCUAAGACCGAUGAAAAUAAUUGGAACGCUGUUUUGUACAUCACGAGUCCAGAAAUGACAUUGGAAAGAACGUAAUCCCGUUGCGCGGAUAGAGCAAAAGUCACCAGAUUCUAUACCUAAACUAGAUUUCGGAACAAAUUAAUUAGCCCGAGUUGCGAAAUCGAAUUUAGAACAUUUUUCGGUUAAACCUGCGAAUAUCCGAUUCGGAAAGUUUCCCUGGGAAAACGUGGGAAUUCCGUAUUUCCGACGACUUUUGUCGAGUGCUUUGAAAUUUUCUAGCGGUAGGUGAAAAUUGAGAAAUUCAAAACUGUUUUUCACCUCGAAUUCGAAGUCGAUUGGUCAAAACGUCUGAAAAUGGACGGACGAGUUCGCCAUGAGAUGACCCUGUAAUUUUACUGAAACUUCCAAAUUUCCAAAUAACAUUGAUCGUAGGCGAUUCCAAUAUUUCCCUGCAAAAUAUAAAUAAAAAAAAAAAUUAAAACCCUCGCAGGUGUGUACGAAAAUCGCUAGGUCUUCGCCGCAUCUAGACGAACGUAACAACGUGUCCUUCCUUCCACGCAGUAUACACCGCAACAGCUACGGUUGAACCGAAGAAAGAGCAAGAGACUGAGAAACUAACGGACAACAACUCGACCUCGUCGAGUAAAUCAUACGUGAGUACGGCGACGGGGACGUCAGGGACGACGAGUGCCAGGGGCAUAAAUGCGCGUAGUGUGACAUACACGAGGCAUCGCGGAGUGACGCGGGAGUCUCCGAUAUUUCAACGUGCUAGCCGAAUCGAUGAAAUUUGGAUAAAUUUUUUCCUCCUCUUUUUUUUCCCCUCUUUUCAAAACGAACCGCAGAGUAGAGAAAAACAAUAGAUAUAUACCGGGAGCGGCAUGAGGCGCGGUGUGAUUCGAUGAGAAGAAUAGGCUGACAAUGAGCGUCGUCAAAUAAUUUUCCGACGAUUAGAAUGUCGUUCGAUUACGCAAGAUGAAUAAACUCGCGCCAGGUCGAGUCGAUCACUCGUAAUCGUGUCUCUACGUAUAAUCCGAUCGGUGAAGAGAUAAAAUAAAAUGAAGCAAACGCGGUAAAACGUCAUAGAGGUCGUAAAUAUAAUUUUCAAUCACGCGGUAGGGUAUAUAAUGUGAUAAAUACGAACGAGUGUCCGAUUCUUUGAUUUUUCUUAAAUCGUUUUUGAGAUAAAAAUCUAUCGAUUCAACGACGCCGCGAUAAAGAAUCAGAUACGCGCUAGGGUGAUAUAUAUACUUGUGAUUUUAACCACUGCAUUUUCUCUCUCAUAUACUACAUAUACGAGAACAUUCUCUACGACGACGGUUGAAAAGAAAUUUUUUUUUCUAAAUCUACGGAGGAACUAAAAGCCCUUCAGAAAGGUGUUCGAAGCUGUAUAAUAUCUGUGAUAAGACUUACGCGUACAUGUAUACAUGUAUAGCUGUUAUAAUGACGCCUACAACAGAUCCCGGUAUCGCGUGAAACCUAGCGUCGCGACGACGACGACGCCGUGCGUUUCCUAUACCUACGUACGUAUCUGCAUACGUGUUCACAUCACAAACCCACCGUAAAGUGUGCCUCCUCACUUACCACCGAUACACGCGCGCGCGCACGCACGUUAGGUAAGAUACGCGUGUGUACAUCGUCCUCCAUAUUAUAAACAUAUGCGCGCAUACAUAACAUAUAUCCAUAUACGUACAUCGACUACAUAUACAUAUAUAUAAUAUACACGCAUAAUCGGAGGCGGUUAAGUUCAGUUUCGGCUAAGCUACACGUGUGAGCUCUAUAAUACUCAUGGUCUGGUGUAUAUGGGGCAUUCCACCGUGAACUUAAGAAAAUUCUGCCACUCGCCAAUGACGCGAUUCUCCCUCUUCAUUUUCUAUUCUCAAUAGUUUUCAGGUACGACGAAAAAAAAGAGUCCGGAAAAUGCUAUUGAUCAUUUUUGUCGCGUACGCAUCCAAAUCGAAAAGAAAUACGCAACGUUUGAAUAUUUAACGGCGAAUCAUAGCGAAGGGGUAAUUGAUUUUUUUUAAUAAUGGUAAAAAAGGUGACGCUCCCAAUGCGAUCUCGCAUUGCCGCGGAAUGGCCCGUAUAUGUAUACGUCGUAGUCCGGGAUAGACGCUUACGAUGGUAUAGCAUCGGAGCACAGCAUUCGUGUGUAUGGGCAUAACAGGCAUAAGCAAUCUACGAUGGUCGUCGUCGUCGUCGUCGUCGUCGUCGUCGUCGUCGGGAGUUGAAAAGGUGGAGGGGAGGUGGAGCGGGCGGGCAUCAGGCGAUGGGCAUGGCGUACGUCGGCGCGCGGCUAGACGCAGCGAAACGGCGUAAAGUGAACUGCAGGGUAUUGCGGAGCUUACGGUAUAGACGAAAAUCAGAUGGCUGUGCGUCAUGCGCACCUUGGUCCACACCGGAACGUCGCACGGAUACACGCGCGCACACACACACACGCACACACACAAGGGCGGACAAAAGUUGCACACAGAAUCUAGGCGACGCUGACACCGCGACGACACGCACACACGCGAGUACUUAGAUUACAGGUAUAUAUGUAUACCUGUUACGGUAAUAACGACGAAAUUCAUGUACAUAUAUCGGAACGAAUUAGCGAGUUAUUUCGAUCCGCGAUUGAUGACUCGGAUAAAGCGCUUUUUCUACGAUAAAUCGAAGCCCGCAGGAUCGUUCGAAACUUAUUUUUUUUUCCCUCAAUCUUCGUCUCCGGACUCCCACUAAGAUGCGUUUUGUGCACACAUGCUUAAUACAUAUAACCGUACGUUUUACCUACGUACAUACGUCACACAUAGACAUAGAUGUAUUUUGUGGCGCGAGCGUGAACGCGCGGGGGUAAACGGUUGAAGCUUUUAGUUUUUUUUGUCCGUCCGUUCGUCCGGCGCCAACCGGUAGGUAUCUCAUAUAUGCCUAUAUAUAUGUUAUAAAUAUGUACGUGCGAUACAUAGCAUGUAUUCGUAUGUAGGUAUAGGAGAAUAUAAUACGUGUGUGCGUGUGUGUGUUUUAUCCUCCGCUUGUAUGUGAUAUCUUGCGGUGGAUCGUUGAAAUAAUUUUAAAAAUUCAGGUUGCCCUGAGUAGGUGGCAUGCGGCACCCGCAGCACACCACCGCUACAUCAAGCGGCGCAACUAUAAAGUGCAGUUAGCGUAUUGUAAUGUACAAGGGGUAGUUCCAGGUAUUAAAGGAGUCUUCUUUUUACUGGAUUUGAAGAUCAUCGGGUAUUAUAGAGUAGGUAUAAUCCGUGUAUAUGCGGAUUGAAAACCACGGAACCAUAUGCUUUAUAUGCGUCCCACAGUGGCGGUAAUAAUAAUUACACACGCUCAGUUUGUUUAUGCGAUGUUAAAUGUGAUACCGUGAUAUAAUAUAGCCUCUCAUAAAGCGUUAUAUUCUCUCUUAUUCCCGCUAUACUCUCGCUCGUCGUUUGGUAUAUACUCAGGAUUAUAGCGUAAAUCCGGGUGACGGCGAACACGUAUCCAUACCCAUGUAUACAUAUAUGUACUUAUCGCGCUGGAAUGUUCUUUCUCUGAUCAUCCAAUUUUUCGAAUUUCUAUUCAGUUGUAUAAUAUACCGCCAUCGGUUUCAAAAAGUGAAUAUUUUUUUCUAUCAACUCCGUUACAGAGAUCACACGCUCUUACGAUUAAUCGAUACUAGGGUAACGAUAUUAUUGCCCCGAGUUUCGAAAAACGAAUACGAAAGUUGAGAAAAAAAAAGGACCCCGGAGAAAAUGACUGCGGGCUAACCGCUCGCGGUCGGUGUCCAAAACGUCGUGCACGCGUCGUAGUUAACAGUCGUAGCGAUAGUCGUAGUGUCGUAGUCGUAGUCGUAGUCGUAUAAGUCGUAGGACGGCAGUCAUUUUCGUCACGGAAAGUCAGCGUGGCAGACCCAGCGACAGGCGCAAGAGAACACAAAGAGGCACACGCACGUAGGUCGAGCAGCGAACACGGCAAUGGCAACGAAGCGACACACAACAUAAAAGUAGAUUAUAUACCUGCUGCCGCUGCCGCUGUCGCUGCCGCUGCUGCCGCUGCUGCACCGUGCGCCUGGAGAAAUCUUAACUUUUCGACGACGACGACGACGACGACGACGAUAUGUACGCGUGUGCCGACGACCGCGCGGCGCUUACCACCAACGUAUACACAUACCGUACGCACGUGUGCACGUACUUCAUCUAUAGGCAAGCAAACCGCGCGCGCUCCCUCUCUCUACCAUCACAUUUUAGCGACGACCGACCGGCCCAUAUACCAACAUGACUGAGUAUAGUUAUCAGUGAACGUCGUCGUAUAACCAGAAAUCAAUAUUUAUACCCACGAAGCACCUUAAGCUAUUCGACUACAACUCCACGUACACUCGGAGGAAAUAUUUUGUUCAAAUAUACGUAUAUAUAAAAGCAAAAAAACAACAAAAAUCUUAUUACCGAUGUCGUUUGUAAAAAAUUAUUAUCUCACGAUUACGAUUAACGGGUACGUCGGACGCAUAUAAAAAAAAUAAAAGUUGUAUCUCGAGGAGAAUUUCCUUGGUUUUUCGUUCCUCAAAAAUCGAACAAUUCUUUUUUUUUAUGUGUGGAAUUUUCCCUGGUUUCACGAGCGUACUUGCAUUCCAUUCGGGAUGGCGGCAGGGGGCGAAGGAGAGAAUAAAUUUAACGAUUCAAUUCCACAUAUUGUCCGGAUAAUAAGGAAAGACGUAACGUCAUAGCGACUGAUAUAUGUAUACAUAUCGCGGGAUCGCAGUCAAUCGACGAUCGAUAACGCAGAUGAUGAUCCGUUAAAUGAACAUCGACGCGUCUAUAAUAAUCCGGGCGGUACAGAGAUCUAGUUUAAAAAUCUGUUAAAAACCAUUCCUUCGCUACCGCUCGGGUGCAGCGUUAAUUGUAUAAAGGGAAAGUAGCUUUGCUCAGACGAGGAACGAACGAGAACUACGCGUCGCGUUAUUACAGUUAGAACGGCUGUUUCCCAGGUACAAAACCUGCUCCCAUCGUGUCGACUAUAGUAUACACAUACCUUCAACUGUAUCCAUAGGUAUACACAAUACCAUAAAAUAAUGCUCGUUCAUCGUCGCGAAUCUACACAACCGAAGUCUAUACAGCAGGUAGGAUAACGACUACUCGGUGCAAUGCAAAAAAAAAAAAAAAACACCCCGCAAGUGUUUUUGUUGAUAAGACACCGAGCUGUUGUACAAAAAUUUUCAAUCCAAGGGCCAAAAAUGUCGAAGGGUUAAACGUUAUAACAUACACAGUGGAACGGUAUAGCGGGGUGAAUAAAACUUGCGAAAGUAUACGAACUGAAGAGAUGGUUCCCGGACUAAAUAGAGGGAUAACAAAACAGGGGUGUAAAUUUUUCCACUUUCUUCAUCUUUUUUUCUCUGCUCAAGAGGGCGGAAACUUCACCUGAUAUUAAUCUUUGGCAUCCUUGAAUAUUUCUUUUCUUCCUUUUCUCUCUCUCGCUGCAGCGUAUUAAAAAGUUGCGAAAAAAAUGUUCACCUCGCGAUAAACCGCAUAGUGGCGAGGUUUCGGGUUAACUCUACUUUCUCAUACACGUUGUAUUAUCAAUCGUAUAUGAAAAUCACGUGUGUAAGAAUCGUCGCGGAGGCAAUUACGCACUAAUCGAUAAUCUCUCGCACCUGCAAACGGUUACACUGUAUAGUCUACG